rnacentral:tRNA from 13 species
GGAGCCCGGGUGGCCCGUGCCGCGGACUUCAAAUUCGGUCGGGGCGC